GGCCAAGCGGAAGGACAGCAGGUGAGAGGAGCAGGCAGGACAGGGAGGAGACAAAACAAGGACAACGGAGGAAAAAGGAGACUCAGGGAAAGGACACAGUGCCGGGAGGACAAGGACCACAUCUUCGCCAUCUCCCCAUCCCGGGGCUCGUGACAUGAGAGGUUCUUGGCAACUCUGUGAUACGGAUGGAUGGCAGGAAACAGCUCCGCUCUGGGGCAUGCCCACAGUUCAAACGCUCCCACCUGACCGAUUCCAAGCGGCCAGCCUGGAGAACCGGAUGUGGAGUUGGCAAGAGAUGCACACAACUGGUUCUGGGGUUCCUGCGGGCCAGGACAAGCUGGCUCUAGCACACCACUGGAGGGAGGGCAGAGAGACAGAGGGCAGGUGGGCGGGAGAAGUGGACAGCUGGAUGGAAGGAUGGACGGGUGAGCGGCUCACAUGCCACCUAGAAAGAUGGGUAGAUGGACAGACGAACAGGUAGGCAUUCGCAUGCAUGAAGCGUAUAAGCAACAGUGGUGUUUCGUGAAGCGCACUGAAGGCCAGGACAGGUGGGUCGUCCAGAGGAGCAGGCGAGCAGAGAAAUCAAGGGUACGACCUCUGAAGGCAGGCGAGCCCGCCUUCAAAUCGCCACUCCCUGCUGGCAGCUGGAAAAGUCUCUUCACCUGUCUGAGUUACAGCUUCCCCACCGGCGGACUGGCCAUGAGGCCACCUGCUCCACGGCGCUCUUGAGAAGAUGAAAUGGAUGAUACACAUAAAGCCCAG